UACGUGAGGGUGCAAGCGUUAAUCGGAAUUACUGGGCGUAAAGCGUGCGCAGGCGGUUUUGUAAGUUUGUCGGUGAAAUCCCCGGGCUCAACCUGGGAAUGGCGAUGAAGACUGCAAGGCUAGAAUCUGGCAGAGGGGGGUAGAAUUCCACGUGUAGCAGUGAAAUGCGUAGAGAUGUGGAGGAACACCGAUGGCGAAGGCAGCCCCCUGGGUCAAGAUUGACGCUCAUGCGA
rnacentral:rRNA from 1 species